UACGUAGGUGGCAAGCGUUGUCCGGAUUUAUUGGGCGUAAAGCGCGCGCAGGCGGUCUUUUAAGUCUGAUGUGAAAUCUCGGGGCUCAACCCCGAGCGGUCAUUGGAAACUGGGAGACUUGAGUGCAGAAGAGGAAAGCGGAAUUCCACGUGUAGCGGUGAAAUGCGUAGAGAUGUGGAGGAACACCAGUGGCGAAGGCGGCUUUCUGGUCUGUAACUGACGCUGAGGCGCGAAAGCGUGGGGAGCAAACAGG
rnacentral:rRNA from 1 species